GGAGUUUGGGCCGUGUCUCAGUCCCAAUGUGGCCGGUCACCCUCUCAGGUCGGCUACGGAUCAUCACCUUGGUGGGCCGUUACCUCACCAACAAGUUAAUCCGACGCGGGCCCAUCCUUCACCGAUAAAUCUUUCCGCCCUGGACCAUGCGGUCCCGUGCGCAUAUGCGGUAUUAACAGCCGUUUCCAACUGUUAUCCCCCAGUGAAGGGCAGGUUACCCACGUGUUACUCACCCAUCCGCCACUAAGUCAUCCCAAUUGAUUCUACUUUGAGCAAUCUCUCCAUUUCAUCGGGCGGGACGCUUCGUUCGACUUGCAUGUGUUAAGCACGCCGCCAGCGUUCAUC
rnacentral:rRNA from 1 species